AGUGCAUGUGGUGGAUGCCUUGGCAGUCAGAGGCGAUGAAAGACGUGAUAGCCUGCGAAAAGCUCCGGGGAGGCGGCAAAUAUCCUUUGAUCCGGAGAUGUCUGAAUGGGGGAACCCACCUACUUUAAGGUAGGUAUUGCAACAUGAAUACAUAGUGUUGCAAGGCGAACGAGGGGAAGUGAAACAUCUCAGUACCCUUAGGAAAGAAAUCAAUUGAGAUUCCCUCAGUAGCGGCGAGCGAACGGGGAUCAGCCCAUUAAGUUAUGUGUGUUUUAGUGGAACGCUCUGGGAAGUGCGAACGUAGAGGGUGAUAUUCCCGUACACGAAAGGGCACACAUAAUGAUGACGAGUAGGGCGAGGCACGUGAAACCUUGUCUGAAUAUGGGGGGACCAUCCUCCAAGGCUAAAUACUCCUGACUGACCGAUAGUGAACCAGUACCGUGAGGGAAAGGCGAAAAGAACCCCUGUGAGGGGAGUGAAAUAGAUCCUGAAACCGCAUGCAUACAAGCAGUGGGAGCACCUUCGUGGUGUGACUGCGUACCUUUUGUAUAAUGGGUCAGCGACUUAUAUUCAGUAGCGAGGUUAACCGUAUAGGGGAGCCGUAGAGAAAUCGAGUCUUAAUAGGGCGUUUAGUUGCUGGGUAUAGACCCGAAACCAGGCGAUCUAUCCAUGAGCAGGUUGAAGGUUGGGUAACACUAACUGGAGGACCGAACCCACUGUCGUUGAAAAGCCAGGGGAUGACUUGUGGAUAGGGGUGAAAGGCUAAUCAAGCCUGGUGAUAGCUGGUUCUCCCCGAAAGCUAUUUAGGUAGCGCCUCGGACGAAUACCAUAGGGGGUAGAGCACUGUUUCGGCUAGGGGGUCAUCCCGACUUACCAAACCGAUGCAAACUCCGAAUACCUAUGAGUACUAUCCGGGAGACAGACUGCGGGUGCUAACGUCCGUAGUCAAGAGGAAAACAAUCCAGACCGCCAGCUAAGGCCCCAAAAUCAUAGUUAAGUGGGAAACGAUGUGGGAAGGCAUAGACAGCUAGGAGGUUGGCUUAGAAGCAGCCACCCUUUAAAGAAAGCGUAAUAGCUCACUAGUCGAGUCGGCCUGCGCGGAAGAUGUAACGGGGCUAAAACUAUGUGCCGAAGCUGCGGAUGUAUACUUUGUAUACGUGGUAGGGGAGCGUUCUGUAAGCCGAUGAAGGUGUGUUGAGAAGCAUGCUGGAGGUAUCAGAAGUGCGAAUGCUGACGUGAGUAACGACAAAACGGGUGAAAAACCCGUUCGCCGAAAGACCAAGGGUUCCAGUCCAACGUUAAUCGGGGCUGGGUGAGUCGACCCCUAAGGCGAGGCCGAAAGGCGUAGUCGAUGGGAAAAUGGUUAAUAUUCCAUUACUUCUGUGUAAUGCGAUGAGAGGACGGAGAAGGCUAAAUCAGCCUGGCGUUGGUUGUCCAGGUGAAAGGAUGUAGGCAUGUAUCUUAGGCAAAUCCGGGGUACUCUAUGCUGAGAUCUGAUAGCAAGCUGUACUUGUACAGCGAAGUGGUUGAUGCCAUGCUUCCAGGAAAAGUCUCUAAGCUUCAGUUACACAGGAAUCGUACCCGAAACCGACACAGGUGGUCAGGUCGAGUAGACCAAGGCGCUUGAGAGAACUCUGCUGAAGGAACUAGGCAAAAUGGUACCGUAACUUCGGGAGAAGGUACGCUGUUGUUGGUGAUGGAACUCGCUUCCUGAGCUGACGACAGCCGCAGAAACCAGGCCGCUGCAACUGUUUAUUAAAAACAUAGCACUCUGCAAACACGAAAGUGGACGUAUAGGGUGUGAUGCCUGCCCGGUGCUGGAAGGUUAAUUGAUGGGGUUAGCGUAAGCGAAGCUCUUGAUCGAAGCCCCAGUAAACGGCGGCCGUAACUAUAACGGUCCUAAGGUAGCGAAAUUCCUUGUCGGGUAAGUUCCGACCUGCACGAAUGGCAUAAUGAUGGCGGCGCUGUCUCCAGCAGAGGCUCAGUGAAAUCGAAAUCGCUGUGAAGAUGCAGUGUACCCGCGGCUAGACGGAAAGACCCCGUGAACCUUUACUGCAGCUUGACACUGAACUUUGACCUUACUUGUGUAGGAUAGGUGGGAGGCUUUGAAGCUGGAACGCUAGUUCCAGUGGAGCCGUCCUUGAAAUACCACCCUGGUAAUGUUGAGGUUCUAACUCUGUCCCGUGAUCCGGGACGAGGACCGUGUCUGGUGGGUAGUUUGACUGGGGCGGUCUCCUCCUAAAGAGUAACGGAGGAGUACGAAGGUGCGCUCAGCGUGGUCGGAAAUCACGCGUAGAGUAUAAAGGCAAAAGCGCGCUUAACUGCGAGACCCACAAGUCGAGCAGGUACGAAAGUAGGUCUUAGUGAUCCGGUGGUUCUGUAUGGAAGGGCCAUCGCUCAACGGAUAAAAGGUACUCUGGGGAUAACAGGCUGAUACCGCCCAAGAGUUCAUAUCGACGGCGGUGUUUGGCACCUCGAUGUCGGCUCAUCUCAUCCUGGGGCUGAAGCAGGUCCCAAGGGUAUGGCUGUUCGCCAUUUAAAGAGGUACGCGAGCUGGGUUUAGAACGUCGUGAGACAGUUCGGUCCCUAUCUACCGUGGGCGCUGGAAAUUUGAGAGGAUCUGCUCCUAGUACGAGAGGACCAGAGUGGACGAACCUCUGGUGUACCGGUUGUGACGCCAGUCGCAUCGCCGGGUAGCUAUGUUCGGAAGGGAUAACCGCUGAAAGCAUCUAAGCGGGAAGCCUACCUCAAGAUAAGAUUUCCCUAGGACUUUAUGUCCUCUAAAGAGCCGUUCGAGACUAGGACGUUGAUAGGUUGGAUGUGGAAGCAUAGUGAUAUGUGAAGCUGACCAAUACUAAUUGCUCGUGAGGCUUGACU
rnacentral:rRNA from 1 species